rnacentral:rRNA from 1 species
UAAGGGAUAUUGCGCCAAUGGGCGAAAGCCUGACGCAGCAACGCCGCGUGCGGGAAGAAGGCCUUCGGGUUGUAAACCGCUUUGAGAGGGGAAGAGGCAGGACGGUACCCUCGGAACAAGUCUCGGCUAACUACGUGCCAGCAGCCGCGGUAAAACGUAGGAGGCGAGCGUUAUCCGGAGUUACUGGGUGUAAAGGGCGUGCAGGCGGCUAAGCAAGUCGUAUGUGAAAGCGCUCAGGC